rnacentral:misc_RNA from 1 species
UAAUAAGUGUUUUAUGGCACUUUUUAAAUCCAUAUCCACCUUGUGUGCAAUGUCAGUCGAUCUUCUUUAUUGGAGAUCGACCAAACAUCAACCUUUAUUUUCUAACUCUUUGUCUGAAAAAUAUUAUGAAUAAACAAUUCAAAAUA